UUUACCCUGCGAUGUUCGUGAAGAGCCGUGCAGUUUUGAGCCAACACCAAAACUUAGGGAACCUGACAUCCGGGCAUGGCUUGCAGGCCCCAGUUUCCAGGGGAAGCAAAAAGUGUCCGUGGAGGUACCCACCUGCUGAGAGCAGGUUCAAAAACCACGGCAUUCACGGCAUUUGUGGGGUUUUA
rnacentral:other from 19 species